rnacentral:lncRNA from 1 species
CACGAAGCAUCCUCAUCUCCGCUACACCCAUUUUGUGUACGUGUUGAUGCUUCACCGCCCAACAUUCUGUGCCAUACAACAUCGCUGGCCUUAUUGCCGUCCUAUAAAAUUUUCCCUUGAGCUUCAGUGGCCUACGACGGUCACACAACACGCCGGAUGCACUCUUACACUUCAUCCAUCCAGCUCGUAUUCUAUGGUUGAGAUCUCCAUCUAAUUCUCCGUUCUCUUGCAAGAUAGAUCCUAGGUAGCGAAAACGGUCGCUUUUUGUGAUCUUCGCUAGAUUGCUCCGGUCAUUAGUGUGGAUAAGUAUAUAAAUGGAUAGAGAUAGGAAAGCAAACACAAGAUGUACGUGGUUCACCCAGAUUGGCUACGUCCACGGAAUAGAAGAGUUCUCAUUAAUUGUGAAGGGUUUACACAAGUACAUAGGUUCAAGCUCUCCUUUAGUGAGUACAAGUGAAUGAUUUAGUACAAAUGACAUUAGGAAAUAUUUGUGGGAGAAUGAUCUCGUAAUCACGAAACUUCUAAGUAUCGGAGUGUGGUGUCGUCUUGACUUGCCUUAUCUGUCUCAUAGGUAGAUGUGGCAUCUUCUCUGGAAGUACUCUUCCUCCAUCCAGGGGUGGUAUCUUUAACUGGUGGAGAUGCACAAGGUAAUGUAUCAAUUUCACUUGAAGCUUACUUGUAGUUUCAGGCUUGGUCAAGCGCGAUACAAACCAUGUAGUAGGAGUCCCCCAAGUCGCCGAGCUAGGGGGUCUGCUGAAAGAGGUGACAGACAAGGUAAGCAAUCAGAGCUCCGACUGAUUGUUCACCUUCUCCCCAUCUUGCAGCAGCAUGAAGGAUAAAGAGAAGAAAAAUGAGAAGAGAUGAUAUGAGAUACUUUUGCUUUUGAAGAAGUAACUUUCCACAGGCUUAUUCUUGAACUGAGCUGGAGGGUUUUCUGGUUUCCUCCAGAGUAUAAGGCCGACUGAAGAAUUUGAGGGUCAAAACAAGUCCAUCAAAUCUAGAGUACGUUCCACCCUGCUGAUAUGGGAUACUUUUGCUUUUGACAGAGUAAUGGAUGUAUCGGCACGUGUGCUGUUACGCUUGUCUCCACAUGCUUCCUUGUAUCCUUCGCACUUGCCCUAUCUGUUCCUCAAGCAGAUGCGGAAUCUUCCCUGGAAACAUAAGAUGUUGAAGAUGAGUACUCGAGAGCAAUGCCAGGUAAGUAAUCAGGUAAGGGGUUCCAGGCAGUCAGUUCCUGGCUGGAAGCUUGAUUCCAAGUGCUGACUGAUUGCUCUCUUUCUCCUUGUCUUGCAGGUAAAAACAAGGCCAAAGGAAAAGACAGGGAAAAAGCAUGAUAUGGGAUACUCUUGCUUUUAACCCUGAUGAUAUGAGAUAUUCUUGCUCUAGUAUAGCUUGUUUGCAGAGGUAUUAUCGGGGGGAAAGAAAGCUGAAUAUUUCGAAAGGCUUCGUUGGGAGUGCCCUCUCAGAUAUGAUGAAGGGUUGAGCAUUUUUGCAGGUCUGCCUGUCCGUUGGGGAUGGAGGUCGACAUAUAUAGGAGUCUCCCUAACAACAAGUAGUAAUGCUAUUCCUUUACCCUGCUUGGUCAUAGCACGGUAGUGGGAGCUGCCAGUUUCACAUGUUUUAACUCUGUCAGAGCACUUUGAAAAAGUGGUCUGUGGUAUCUGGCUCUCGAGAUUCGGAGAACGAUGCCUCUUCGAUUUUUGAGAAAGCAAUCAUGCUGGGGGUCUGGCUCUCGAGAUUCGGAGAGCAGUGUCUCUUCGAUUUUUGAGGAAGUAAUCAUGUUGGGAGUCUGGCUCUCGAGAUUCGGAGGGCGGUGCCUCUUCGAUUUUGGAGCAAGCAAUCUUGUUGGGAGUGUUGUCUCGAAUGUGAGUAAAGGUUGGGCAUGUUUGCUAGUCUACCUUGCCACGAAGCACAAAGGUUGACACACAGGGACUUUCCAAUUAUCCAGCAAUGGUACUGUUCCUUUACCCUCUCUUCGAUUUUGAGAAAGUAGUCAUGUUGGGAGUCUGGCUCUCGAGAUUCGGAGGACGGUGCCUCUUCGAUUUUGGAGCAAGCAAUCUUGUUGGGAGUGUUUUCUCGAAUGUGAGUAAAGGUUGGGCAUGUUUGCUAGUCUACCUUGCCACGAAGCACAGAGGUUGACACACAGGGACUUUCCAAUUAUCCAGCAGUGGUACUGUUCCUUUACCCUUGUGGGUAAUAAUAUGGUAGCUAGACCUUCAAAAUUUAUGUGUCUAAACUUUGUUAGUGCUGUUUCUUUGCUAUUCUUUUACCUUUCUUGGUCAGAGCGAUGUAGUGGGAGCUGCAAGCUUCACGUGCUCAACUUUGGCAGAGAACUUUGGCAAAGUUAUCUGUGUGGUACCCAGUAAGAUUCAUGUGCUUUCUACUUAGAAGUCUUCGACAGAAUGUUUCUGCAAAGCUGAGUGUGCGUGUGACAGGUGCUGACAAGGCUAGAAAAGUAGGUGCCUCUUCGAUUUCUGAGAUCGGCCCUCGUGGUCUCUGAGCAGCCCAGCUUUUGAGAAAGCGAGCGCCUCUUCGAUUGAUUCGGAGAACGAUGCCUCAUCGAUUUUUGAGAAAGCAAUCAUGCUGGGGGUCUGGCUCUCGAAGAUUCGGGGAGCAGUGUGUCUCUUCGAUUUUUGAGAAAGUAAUCAUGUUGGGAGUCUGGCUCUCGAGAUUCGGAGGGCGGUGCCUCUUCGAUUUUGGAGCAAGCAAUCUUGUUGGGAGUGUUUUCUCGAAUGUGAGUAAAGGUUGGGCAUGUUUGCUAGUCUACCUUGCCACGAAGCACAGAGGUUGACACACAGGGACUUUCCAAUUAUCCAGCAAUGGUACUGUUCCUUUACCCUCUCUUCGAUUUUUAAGAAAGUAGUCAUGUUGGGAGUCUGGCUCUCGAGAUUCGGAGGACGGUGCCUCUUCGAUUUUGGAGCAAGCAAUCUUAUUGGGAGUGUUUUCUCGAAUGUGAGUAAAAGGUUGGGCAUGUUUGCUAGUCUACCUUGCCACGAAGCACAGAGGUUGACACACAGGGACUUUCCAAUUAUCCAGCAGUGGUACUGUUCCUUUACCCUUGUGGGUAAUAAUAUGGUAGCUAGACCUUCAAAAUUUAUGGGUCUAAACUUUGUUAGUGCUGUUUCUUUGCUAUUCUUUUACCCUUCUUGGUCAGAGCGAUGUAGUGGGAGCUGCAAGCUUCACGUGCUCAACUUUGGCAGAGAACUUUGGCAAAGUUAUCUGUGGUACCCAUGAGCUAUUGUUGCGUGUGGGAAGUGGGUGAUUGAACAGUAAGAUUCAUGUGUUUUCUACUUCCCCAGAAGUCUUCGACAGAAUGCCCAUAAUUUCCGCAAAGCUGAGUGUGCGUGUGACAGGUGCUGACAAGGCUGGAAAAGUAGGUGCCUCUUCGAUUUCUGAGAUCGGCCCUCGUGGUCUCUGGGGAGCCCAGCUUUUGAGAAAGCGAGCGCCUCUUCGAUUUCUGAGAUCGGCCUUCGUGGUCUUUGAGCAGCCCAACUUUUGAGAAAGCAAACGCCUCUUCGAUUUCUGAGAUCAACCCUCGUGAUCUCUAAGCAGCCCAGCUUUUGAGAAAGCAAACGCCUCUUCGAUUUCUGAGCAGGCGCCUCUUCGAUUUCUGAAGCUCCGUCGAGUGCAGAUUUUUAUAGGGGCUGGCAUUAAGUUCCAAAGCACACUUGAAUCUCCACCAGUAGAAGCUUCAUUCUUGCACUUCUAAGAUCUUGAUUUGUCCGACCUCUUCUCUCUUCAACACCUUUGAAAAUGUCUGGCCCCUCCGACCGUCGUUUUGACUUGAACCUUGUUGAAGAGGCAGCCCCGCCUUCUCCAGACAACAUAUGGCGCCCAUCCUUCGUCUCCCCUACUGGUCCUCUUACCGUUGGGGAUUCCGUGAUGAAGAAUGAUAUGACCGCUGCGGUGGUGGUGGCCAGGAACCUUCUCACUCCCAAAGAUAACAGACUACUUUCCAAACGGUCUGAUGAGUUAGCUGUUAAGGAUUCGCUGGCUCUCAGUGUUCAGUGUGCAGGUUCUGUGUCUAAUAUGGCCCAACGCCUAUUUGCUCGAACCCGCCAAGUUGAAUCAUUGGCGGCUGAAGUGAUGAGUCUCAAACAGGAGAUUAGAGGGCUCAAGCAUGAGAAUAAACAGUUGCACCGGCUCGCACAUGACUAUGCUACAAACAUGAAGAGGAAGCUUGACCAGAUGAAGGAAACUGAUGGUCAGGUUUUACUUGAUCAUCAGAGAUUUGUGGGUUUGUUCCAAAGGCAUUUAUUGCCUUCGUCUUCUGGGGCUGUACCGCGUAAUGAAGCUCCAAAUGAUCAACCUCUGAUGCCUCCUCCUUCUAGGGUUCUGUCCAGUACUGAGGCUCCAAAUGAUCCCCCUCCGGUGCCUUCUCUUUCUGGGGCUCUACCGACUGCUGAGACUUCUCCUAAGCAACCUUUGUGAAGGCUCCCUCUUGUGUGUUUAUUUUGACUCAUGUAUAUGUACAUAUUUGUAGCUUAUCGGGGAUAUCAAUAAAUAAGCUUUCCUUCAUUUCAACGUAUUGUGUUAAAUACACCAAAGCCUUCUUCGCUAAGUUCUUUGAAUUUUCUUUUGUUGAAGCUUGUAUGUUGAAGCUUUCUGAGUGGAGCAUGUAGGUUGGGGUAGUGUUCCCUUAAUUUCCCGAGUGAGGAAAACUUCUCGGUUGGAGACUUGGAAAAUCCAAGUCACUGAGUGGGAUCGGCUAUAUGAAUCUUAGAACGCCAUUGUGCUCGAUCCUGUGUCAUGUCCUUCGUUAGAUCCAAGUACUCUAAGUCUUUUCUUAGAGUCUCUUCCAAAGUUUUCCUAGGUCUUCCUCUACCCCUUCGGCCCUGAACCUCUGUCCCAUAGUCGCAUCUUCUAAUCGGAGCGUCAGUAGGCCUUCUUUGCACAUGUCCAAACCACCGUAACCGAUUUUCUCUCAUCUUUCCUUCAAUUUCGGCUACUCCUACUUUACCCCGGAUAUCCUCAUUCCUAAUCUUAUCCUUUCUCGUGUGCCCACACAUCCAACGAAGCAUCCUCAUCUCCGCUACACCCAUUUUGUGUACGUGUUGAUGUUUCACCGCCCAACAUUCUGUGCCAUACAGCAUCGCCGGCCUUAUUGCCGUCCUAUAAAAUUUUCCCUUGAGCUUCAGUGGCAUACGGCGGUCACACACAACACGCCGGAUGCACUCUUCCACUUCAUCCAUCCAGCUUGUAUUCUAUGGUUGAGAUCUCCAUCUAAUUCUCCGUUCUUUUGCAAGAUAGAUCCCAGCUUCGCCCUGUCCGAUCGCAUAACUUAUCAUUUAACACUCACUUUCAUAUCUAAUCACUCCAAAAAGAUUUGUUGUGAGAUUGUUUGGUUCAUAAUUUUCUCUAGCAUAUCAAAAAAAGUUCUCCGUUCAUAGAGAAAGCGUUCCAACAACUGGUCCAACCAACAAAACAUUAGUUUGUUCUACCCAUCCAUAAGAUCGGCCCAAAAACCGAUGCAGGGCUUCAAUACAAAAACCCUAGCUGUGAGAGAGUAUCGAAAGUUCGUAAGCCCAACUCAGUCGGCAGCCGACCGCAAUGCGUGGACGCGGCUUACAGAUGCAAAACGAGAAGCUACUGCUUGGAGCUACUUCUAGUGAGAUGGGCUAAAUGGGAAUGAUCGGGAAUUCCGGCUUAAGGGGGCCCCGACAUCGUUCGAGCCCAUUUACUUCUAAUCUGACUAUUUUGUGACCUGUGCGAUGUAAAACUUCUAUUUCUCAUCAGAACGUGGAGCCACAGCUCUGAUACGACUGGCCGUUAGGAGUCGCCACGGGUUCGUAUCCCGUGAACUCCGGCAGUUUCAGUUUUCGUACUAAGGGACCUACUCUACCCAAACCGAACAUUUUUCUGCAAUGAUGACACUCAGAAGUUCAUGUACCCCGCUAGUAGCACGAUCUAAACUUCUCAAGAAAUGCUGGCCAUAAAUCGUUACACGGACUAAACCUCAUUAUGGUUGAGGAAAGUUGAAACUUGAGGCCUCUUUUGCUCCUUGAGGACUUCAAACCAUUUCCAGUCAACAAAAGGUUGGAAGUUUGUUCAUUUGUCCUAAGUCACACUCAAAUAACAAUGUGACAUCAUAAUCCGGUCAAUUAAAAUGGGCUACUGGCUUUACACUUCAAGUAAUGCUUUGUAAAGCAGGUUAUUGCCAAAAAUUCCCGAGACCUGGUUAAAAAGGUAAUUGAGGAGCACGAAGCAUUCAGGUCGGCCUCAGAGAGUUGAUCCAUAUAGGAUUCAUUGCUCAACGUCAGCAGAACCAAUCGCAGUUUCUCAUGAGAAAGCCUGAGGCGGAGCUGAUGAUUACUAUAAUGUACUUUAAACUAACGUUGCCUAGGAAUAAGAUGAACUUAUAAUUUAAAAAUAAUGCCGUCACUAACUUUAAUCUAAGAAAGCAGUUUACUUUAUAAUUUGAUCACUCCUCAUUAAAAAUUGUCUUCCUGCAGAACCAAUAACUAAUGACCUUUAAACUGUAAAACAUAUAAAAAUGAAAAACUGGACUGAGAACCACAUUACUUUGCUUCUGAUUCUUCAUUACGACUUCUCAGUCUCCCGUUUCUUAGUUCUUCAAAGUUUUCAAUUUACCAAUAACCAUCUUUCAAACCAUCCCCAGAUACGAAACCGAUGACGGCUUCACCAAACUCAAACAUUAGGUUUUAGAUACUCUACUUCCAAAUCAACCUGAUUUUCAUCUUGAUGCGUUCUUCGAACACAAAGAUGCAUUCUCUUUGGGAACCCUGCAUGGACUCGCCCAGAGUCUCAGAUGUGUGGAGUGUGACCCGGCUAGUAGCAACAUGGAUCACUCCCAAUCAUAUAGGACCCAGAACUGGUCUUUGUCCACAAGGUUGGAGUCACGCUACCCAGGGCAUUCCUACUUUUCCUCCAGUGUUAAGAGGGAGGAUCAUGGGGACAAUGGAUUGAUGACUUGAAGCCCAUUCAUGAAGCUAAAAUGGCAAUCCCAACGACUCUACGACACACUGAUUGAUAUGUAUCCAAGCAAGGGGUUGUCCAUUCUUUUGAAUCCCGAGCUUUCUCAGGCAGCAAUGGUGUUUUGGGAUAACACCACCAACACCUUCAAUUUCAGAAUGGGCCCGAUGACACCCAUGAUCCUAGAUAUGGCUCAGUUGUUCGGGCUUCGACCGUCGGGCAAAUGUGUUGACAUCACCGAGGACUGGGCAGCUCAUAGGGAAACCAAUAAGAAGAAGAAAGGAAAUGUCGAAGCUAUCAUUCCUUUUGUGAAAAUGAAUAGCAAUCCGGCCGAGCUCAAGGCCUCGGGCACCUCCUUCUCGAGAUUCCUGCAUUAUUUUAAGGAAUGUUCCAGCUUCAACCCCCUUCGGGCAAAUCCCGAUCAGGAGCACGUACAUUUCCUAUUGUGUUGACUCAACAAGUUCUUGUUUCCAAAUCCCUUCAAAUGCAUCAAAUUGGAAUGGAUUCCUCUGGCCGAGGCAUUAAAUGCCUAUGAUGAUGUUGCCAUGGGGCCAUUUGUGUUGUCUCAUCUGUACUCGAUGCUGGGCAAGAUGACCAGAGAUAGGCCAUUCCAGACCAACCGGCAAGGGCCACUUUGGAUGGUACAAAUUUGACUCCAGUGAUACUUCCCUAAGCUUAAGAGUCCAGAGAUCGUUUUUGAAGAUCGGACAGUACUAGCCAUUCAACUGGCUUUGGCACCUUUGACACACCGCACUACUCUGGAGUGUUUGUACUUAUUUAGAGAAUGUCGGACAAGGACAACAGAACAAUGGGGUGUUUCCUUUUUCAGAGCCUACCCUUGGUUUGAAAAAGGAAAUUUUUUGGAGGAGCUCGACGGACCAUAUGAAAAAUGGGGAACGGAUCGAUUCUUCAGCUGCGUCCAAGUUUGAGACAUCGUUUGGUCAUCCCCACUAGUUUGUCUACUCUUCUUAAUCUUAGUUCCAAUAAAUCUAAUUGAUUGGUCAUCCACUUAGAUUUAUCUAAUUAUCUAGAAACAAGUUCACAAUGAUAGCCAGUCACAAUAACAUUCGAGACUAGAAUAGAUUAAGCACAAAGAUUAAGAAUGAAACAUAGCAUUUAAUCGAAUAAUAAUCAACAAGAUAUUUCGGAAAUAAUCAUGUCAUGGCUUCAUCAUAAGCCUUAGAAAAGUAGUUUAAGUACACAUAGUCAUAAUAAAAAUCACAAAAGAAGUCAUGGAAGAAGUGUUGGAUAUAUGUCAACAAUCUGUGAUAAUUUAUAUAUGCUAAUAAUUUAUCUUCUGGAAAAACCUGUAAAGAUAUGGGAAACAUAGUUUUAUCUCUUAUUUUUCCACGCCUAUAUUGCACGUCACUAGGAAAAAACUUCUUCUUCCAACUUAGUCAGAGUCGGAACUCUGAAACUCAGAAGAGAGCCGUUGAACGGUGCUGUUUCGCAAGCCAUCUUCUCUUCCAAGAGCCGAAAAAAGCUUCGUCUCCCAAAACCUGCAACUUUCUCGGGUCAGUUUUAUCCUCCUUUUCCCAUCUCCUUGGAUUUUUUUCGUUUGGAUUUUUCUGUUGCAUUUGCAUAUUCUAAUUUUUGGGGGUUUUCGGAUACUAUGCACAUAGUAAUUCAAUUCUCAUGUGAUGUAAAUGAUCGUUUGAACCCUUUGAGUUGUUUUAAGAUUAAUCUUAAUUUUGAUAAUUAAUCAAAAGUUUAGAAUUGAAGUUGUUAUUUUAGUUGCUUGGAUUAGGAAAUAUUUUUACAAGCCUUUGGAAAAUUAAAGUUUUAUCUCAAUAGAAUUUUGAAUGGAAUGUUGAAUUUCUGUUACUUUUUGUGCUUGCUUGGUAUGUGGAUUGAUCAUAUGAAUUUUGAUCAAGUUGUAUAGGAGUAUGGCAAUAAGAGUGCACCGUGUUUCACUCCAACAGAGUGACAUAUGUUCCUUUGUGGUUGAGUAUACGGAAUUUAUCCCUUCGGAAUGAUGGAUUUAAGUAUCUGCGACGGGGGAUGCAUUUCGAGGGAAAGGAGGGUCCGAUUGUAUUGCAGUUGAGGAUAUGAAAUUGGAUAUUUGAAGUGUUUAACCAAAUCAUAAAGUGUGUUUGUUAGCUUGAGAAACAUCAAAAGGUUGUGCAGGCUUGUAGCUGGAGUAGUAAAUAUCUUGUUCACACAUUCAUACUUAAUAUUUGGUUGCGUAGGUAGAGUUUUAAUCAGUGAGUUGACUCUACAACUUGUAUAACAGUCAUAUCAAACUCUUGUGGAUGCGAUAAUAACUUGAGAUAGUGCAUUCCAUUAUUCUCGCUAACUUGUUUUGUUUGUUUCAUAGACUUUCUAACACAUAUCUUUUGUAUUUUCCUAUUCAUGAUCCUUUAGUCUAGAAAAAUUCUUCUACGCAGUUGUUUGUAUGUAGAAAUUAUCACAUCAAUGGGAUCACAAGGUACCUUGGAUGCUAAGAAAAUAUAACGACUAUUUUGUGAGUGGCCGCACAUCCUUUUGACCCUUUAGUCGCACGCUAAAAUUUCUUCUUAGACCAAGAUGCAUCUCAACUUUACACUACACUAAAAACACAUUAUAUUGUUAAGGAAAUGCUUGGUAACUUAUCAUCUAACACUCACUUUCAUAUCUAAAUCACUCCAAAAAGAUUUGUUGUGAGAAAAUACGGUUUGGUUCACAAAUUUUCUCUAGUGCAUAUCAAAAGAAAGUUCAGUUCCGAACAAGAGUGUACCAGAAAUAACCUCUUAGUUCUACCAUUCAAGUCAAUAAAAAGCCCAAUUACUGGCUCAAUACAAAACAUUAUUAGAAAUGUUCUAAGCCCCAUAGUCGGCCCAAAAACCGAUGCAGGGCCCGCGGUUGACAAAAACCCUAGCUGCGAGAGAGAGAAUUUGGGAGGGCGAGAAUGGUGUCCGGCUCAGGAAUCCGCACGAAGCGAGUGGUGGUGGAUAGGCACCACCACAUGCUCGAUCAUCUGGCACGGUCGUGACCAAGGACCUUCUCAACGACCAGCCGACCGCAGUCGUGCGCGCCGAGCAGACCGCCAUAUCGAGAGGUCUGGUGACGCAGAAGCGCAUGAACACCCAACCCUCUCAAGGCCGCAUCUACUACCUCUCUCCAGCCAAAAUCUUAUGGUGCGACGUCCGAGGGUAAUGCCGUAAUUUCGUAAUUCACACUCUGGCCCUCUGUGCCUCUGUUUCUCUGCUUCAAAACUCACUGUUAUAAUGGCGAUUGGUUUGUACUUUUUUCAGGAUGAUCCGCACAAGAGUAAACGCGGGCUCUGGCGAGGCUGAAGGUUUACGAGGGCAUCCCACCGCCGUAUGACUAGAUGAAGAAGAUGGUGGUUCCUGAUGCUAUCAAGUGAGUAUGGUGGCGGUGUGACUUUUUGUUUUUGUAUGCUAAGUGUUUGAUGAAUUGCUUCAGUGAAUUGGGGUUUGUGAUCAAUUGUCAAAUUAGGGUUUUGAGGCUUCAGAAGGGCCACAAAUACAGCUUGUUGGGUCAGCUUUUGUCCGAGGUCGGAUGGAAUCAUUAUGACACCAUCAAGGUAAGAUGAAAUUCAACUCACAAGAUUUAUGCUUUUUGCAAUUCUUAUUUAAUGAUGUCGAAAUUUGUGAACAUUCCCUUUUAUUUGUUGUAAGUAACUUGAAUGUAGAUUGUAUUUUCUUGUAAUUUGAAUGCAGUUUGGAUGUAAUUUGAAUGUAGAUUGUUGUUAGCCACAGCAGAGUGGAUACAUUUGUUACCUUACAGAGUUAUCUUCGUCAUUUGCAUCAUUUCACUUGUCGGUUUUAUGAUGUUUAUGUAUUUAUUCAUCCAUGAAUAUGGUUUUCAUGAUCAUACAUGGCUUUAUAUGUUUUUAAAAUUUCUUGAGAUGUGCUCGAAUUUGGAAGCUGCCUUUAAGCUUGGCAAUAGGUUUGCAUUAUACGUGUUUUUGCAUCCAUGGCAUGAUGUUCUCGGAUUUAUAUGAAUGCAAUGUUACAUUUGUUGGUAAAUUAUAUGCCAAGUACCGAACAUCUUUUUAUUUCGUGUUCACAGGAGCUAGAGAACAAGAGAAAGGAGAUGGCUGAGUUGGCAUACGAGAGGAAGCUUGGUUGAAGACUGAAAAAUCUGCAGAGGAGAAGCUUGGUUCCCAACUUCAACUCCUUUAUUCGGUGACAUAUUAAAAGUUUAGGGCUAUGACGUGGUGUCGUCGUCUUUUUUACCCUCCCAGUCAUACGUUCUUUUGUUGAGGAUUACAUCUCGGUGAGUUUCUUUUGGCUUUUAUUCGGGAUUACAUCGUAGUGAACUUCUUGUCGAGCAUCUCAUUUUGAGGAAUCAGAUCUUUUAUUCUGAUAAGUUUAAAUGAGGAACUUGUUUACCUGUGUUGACUGACUUGAAUCGUAUGGUUCUAAUUUGUUUUAUGAUAUUUUGUCUUUUUCCAUAAAAAUUUAUGGGUCUCGGUCUUGGUUUCUUUGUUGGGCGCCACUUACUGCCACCAAUAGCCAUGGCGGCUUCCGUUGUGUGCAUAUUGUGUUAACAUGUCUAGAGUUUUGGGUGUUUGCCUGACAUUUUAGCUUGACAUUUUCUAGCCUAUCGGAGAACUAUAAACCUAUUUUUGAACUGAAUUUAAAUUCGGGUAUGAUUUUUGGGUACGUCAUCGGACCGUUGAAGAUGGUCUUAGUAGAGCUAAUAGAGACUCGUGUGGUGUUUGCACAUGUGACAAACUCUGAAAAAUGGGAUUACACUUUUCUAAUCUCGCAAAAUAUUUAGAGAAUAACUCGACUCUAGAACGUACAUUCUUGGAUGAACUUUCCAUGGUACAAAUAGAGGACUGAACAUCCUACAGUAAACCGCAGGAUAACAAAUAUCAAUGGAGGGACGUCUCAUUUACACGAGGGAAUUCGAACAAUGCCCUCCUUUCCGACUCAGCGCUGAAAAAUGCAGACCUCCUCAUGUUCCGAAGUGUUGGGAGUGAGAACUUGGAUUGGUCUUGAAUCUGGACGCUGGCUGAUCAAACACAAAGAAGCUGGCAAGAAAUGUAGAAAACAACCUGCAACAUGUUGAAAUGAUGGUAAAAUGUUUGGAACAAAACAUUUAAGACAUAAAACUUGAUGAAUAAUUUGGUUUGACAAGAAAUUACCUACUGAAGUUUAGAAUGUGAGGAAUCUCAGGCCAAUAUUCAAUCUUCAUCCUCAUCUUAAUCAACUAAUUGACAAAAAAAAAAAGAGGUUUGGUCAAUAUGCAAUACUGAAGAAGAAAUGUGAGAGAAGGAGAAUUGAACAAAUGAAUUAUUUGUUUUGAGAGAGAAGAAUUACUUGUGAUUUUUGGAAUAUGAGAAAUCUUGGGCCACUCCGUGCCGGUACCCCUGGCGCAUUUUUCCUCCAGAAAGGGACAUAUAGCAAUUUGUAGAAGUUUUAGUUUGGUGAGGCGUUGCAUAGCUUGGGCGGAAGGCAGAGACUUGAGAUUCUUGCAUGUGUAAAUAUUUAGUUCGUUGAGAGAUGUAAGGUCACCCAACCACUCUGGAAGAGUCUCCAGCCCGUCACAAUCAACUAUCUCAAAUUCUGUUACAGGAUUAGUCGAGUGAUUAAUUACUUGAGGCAGAGACUUAAGCUUAGGCCACCCCCAAAAUACUAAUUUGUGUGACGAUGGAAUUUGCGAAACCGGGAAAGAAUCGAGCUCCUCCCAGAAUCCACCAAUCCACAACUUUUUCAAACGAGUCAGAGUGCGUAGACCCGUCGGCAAGUAUUGUAAUUUCUCACACCUACUUAUUGAUAAAUUGGAAAGAGAUUGCAAGCUAGUUACAUCGACAUCUGCCAGAGAUAUCAAAUUCUGACAAUCCUGUAUUCUUAGUUUGCCAAGGGAUGUGCAAUCGUGUAAAGAAAUCUGCCUAAAAUUCUGACAAUCCUCUAUUCUCAGUUUGCCAAGGGAUGUGCAAUCGUGUAAAGAAAUCUCUUCAAGAGUAGUGAUAAAUCUAAUGUUCAAUUCUGGUCCGCUGCAACUUGCAAUAACCAAUCUUCGGAGGGCGGUCAGACUCAUCCCCCCAUAGGCAACUGAACUCCAUCCUAGCAUAGGGCAAUUCACUAUACUCAACUCCUCAAGAGAUCCAUGACGGCCUGGCAGGCUUGAUAGUUGAGCACAAUCUUCAAUUACAAAUUGCCCCAGGGAUGGCGGCAAUACAUCUGAAAUUGGAAUGGAUACCAAGUUUCGGCUACCACUUAUUUUCAACCUCUCAAGUGCGUUGCAAUGCUUCAACCCACUCGGCAGACUUGAAAGCUUCUCACAACCCUCAAUCACUAAUCCUCGAAGACAUGGAUUGAUUGGAAUGAAUGUCAAACUAGGACAAUUCCUUAUAGUCAACUCCUCAAGAAUAAUGAGUGUUUCUAGCCCAUCAACCGAAACAUGCCUCAGCCUUUCACAAUUCUCGAUACACAGUGAAUGAAGGGAUGUACAAUCCUGUAAAUACAACUCCUCCAUUGUAGUACUACUGACGAUGGACAAUUCCAGUACAUAACUUGCAAUAAGUACCAAUUUGCGGAGUGUCGUUAGACCGUGAUUUGAAAUGCUUAUUAACUUGGGGGAUUUAUAAAUGGUCAACUCCUCAAUAAGAGACAUGUCUAACCCAUCAGUUGCAUACUGCCUCAAUUGUUGCAAAUCGUGGACGCCCAGCGCACGAAUAGAAGUGCAAGAUUCAAGCCCAAUCGAUGCAUGAGUUUUUAGUCCAUCGCAAUCUUCAAUGGUCAAUUCACGAAAGGAUGUGUAUUCGUGUAAACCUGAAAUUGACUCCAGACUUUUGCAUGACCUUAAAGACAACACCUGUAGAGGGGUAUAGCAUUCUGGUAGACUUUGCAGGUCCAUUAAUCUUAAUCCACCACAUGAACUAAUCUUCAAUCCUCGAAGGGAUGUUGCACCAUGAACUGAAAUGGACAUCAGACUAUCGCAGCAGCUUAUUUCCAAAUUUUCAAGAUAUGGACAUUUUAUGGACAACUCCUUAAGAGAAACUCGGCCGUACAAUUCUGGUCCACUAUGCAGGCUCGUUGAUGUUAAUUUACCACCACGUGAACUAAACAACAAUUUCUGGAUGGAUGUCAAACCAAAUAAUGAAAGGGAUCUAAGUUUGUCGCAGUUGCUUAUUUCCAGAUUCUUAAGAGAGGUACACUUUUCUACCAGACUUGUUAGGUUUGACAGCUCGUGACAAAUACUCAUAUCCAACUUACGAAGGGAUGCAAAAUGAUCAGGAAAUUUUCUCAUUUGCGGACACUCCACGAGAUCCAACUCCUCAAGGCGAGGAAACACGGAUAUUUGAUUUUCUUUCACCACUGGUGGUUCAAUCCAUUCGAUCAAAUUUGGGGCCGCACUAAUUCUGAACGUCUUCAAUGCAGGAUACAAAGCCUUGGUCUUCAUUGCAUCAUCAAUGUCAUCAUAGCCAUAAAACUCAUCUCCCAAACGUUUUAGAUUACACAUUGUAUUAAACUCAAGAUGCAUAAGACUAGGUAGAUGGCCAAGCAUGGGGGCUUCUUCACAUACGUCGCACUGAAUUAAUUGAAUUUUUUUCAAGUUGUUGUGCGGCUUCCAAGAUGGAAAUUUAGCACCCAUGAAAUUGUAAAUCUCUAAAAUUUCCAAAUUUGGGUGUGGCCGGAGGCCUUGGAGAACAUCUUCUUCACUGUUGCUGCGUGGCCUCAUUUCCUCACCCCAUACAAGUGAUAACUUUCGUAUGUUUCUCUUUUCAACUAAAUUUGAUUUCUUCGCUUCUUCUCCAUCCCUCACAUGUUCCAAAUCAUAAAUAACCAGUUCAUCGUUCAAGUGGUUUAAGCCAGCCAAUUCCUCAAUUCACGACCGAUUCCAUAAGGACUCACAAUAAAAUAAGGCAUCUUUCGAAGAUUAGUAAAUUGCCCGACCCCAACAUGAGAUUCCCUGUACCAACCAAAAUUAGCACGUUUCUUUUUUUGGACAGGACCAAAAUAGAUAUGUCUCAAGUUGAUCAAAUCUCCAAUUUCCUUGGGAAACACCUUCAGUAGUCGACAAUACUCCAUUCUUAAUGUCUGUAAGUUAUGGAGCUUGCCGACAGAUUUGGGGAUUGCUUUGAUCUUUGUUCUAGAAACGUUUAAAUACCUCAAUUGCUUCAUCUUCUCAAUUGAUUUCGGCAGCUCCUUAAUAUCAACAUUGUAAAGAUUCAAGACAUGUAAACCCCUAAACCUUGGCAACAUGUUACUAGGAACUUCACUAUUAGAAAACAAUGAGCGCAAUCCCCUUAAACUUUUUUUUGGUAUCAAUUCCAAAACCGAAGUAGGAAUGUGUGAAGCAUGUCGAAUCUUCAGUGUGCCGACCAUCUCAUUAGAAUUCGAUGUCGCGCUAUCAGAUUUUGAUACAAGUUCUGCAAAAUCAUGCACAAGAACGUGCAUCUUGCAUUUGGCAACAACACCAAAGGCAUCCUUCGUAAGAUCUUGAAGUAAGGAGUUUUGCAACAGAAUAUGAAAAUACUUCGUGCCUAUAUCCUCCAUCUCUAGAUCACUAUUCUCGGAAGAAGGGUGAAGCAAUCCUUGAGCCAUCCACAGUUGGAUUAGGUCAUCCCUUUCAAUUUCAAAGCCUUUCUUGAACAUUGAGCAAUAAGCGAAGCAUUGUUUCAAAAUUGGGAAUUUCAAAUUAUCCAAACUCAACUUCAAUCCCGAGAUGAUCAUCUCUUCUGCUUCUGGAGAGUCCCAUAUUUUACCGUCUAGAAUUGCUGACCAUUCAUUUGCCUCAUUCUUAGAGCACAACAUUCCUCCAAAAACCUAUUGAUUCAUAUAUAGUUAGAUUUUUUGUUAAAUAAUACAUAGGUAGCAUAACCGAUUAUAACAAUAAAAACAUUAAUUUGUAGUUUGACAGAAGUUGACUAAUAUGUGCACAUUGUGUUGUAUUGAUGCAGACUAUAUUUGGCUUGUCCAUACAAAUGUUUCAUUUAAACUUUUUUAUACUUAUCAAUGUUAUCAUGGUGUUGUUAACAUAUCAGUUGACUUCCUAUACAGUUUAGAUUUUACCUGUGUGGCUAAGAUGAGAGAAUAGUGAAUCUACACAAACAUUUUAAUCGACGUGAGAAAUAUAUUUUAUUUAAAUUGGUUUACAAUGAUCAAGUUUUGGUGGCUAAAUAAAUUUGUGAGUAUCAACCUACAAGAUCACUAAUGCAACAGUAGAAGUGCAUGGGUGAGGAGAAAGAGCAAUGGCUUUUUUUGAUGACCUUUACGCACUUCUGCAUUCCUUUUAUUUUUACUAGCCAUUUAGUUGAUAAAGAGAAUGUUAGGACCUUGAUAAUGUUAAUGGGUCAAUAUAUGUAAGAAGGUUAAUGGGUUACUUAAGCCCACUAAGGAGAAUACUAUGUAUCAAGAUGAAUGAGUGUCCAAUGGUCAACAAUCAUUACCGUCUAAGGGAGUGUAUCUAGAAAAGCAGUCAAGUCUAGUCGGACUAUGACGAGUGUUUAGGAAAGACAAUUUGUCGUAUAACACAUUUAUUGUAGCUCAUUAGCUGGCCAACGUCCAAGUUAAGGACGAGAACAUGAGUACAUGUAAUGCUUGCAGGACAAAUACAUGGUUUUCAUGAGAGAUUCAAUGUCUCGUCGGUGUUUUGGAUACCUAUUGGAAAACAAUGAUGGCGUCUCUCUCAUCUAAGAUGGUCAUAUCUUGUUUAAUACCCAUAGUCCGGAUAUGAACUAGCCAACAUUAUAAUUUAUAUGUAUGAUAUCCAGCCAACAUUAUAUGAAACAAAGUCCUCCAUGCACUAUGGGAGACCGAAAGACUUGAACAAACCUUUACAGUGCUAGAUGAGAUAAAUAUUUGUAGAAGUGUUCAUGAUAUCAAGAUGGGCCAUUUUAUUUGAAGAUAUUUGUUUCAUGGUCAAGGAACUGUUGCGUUUGAUAGAGUUGAUAUAGUAUUGUGAUGAUAAUGCCAAUUCGUCUGAUGCCUUGCUAAUCCGAGGAAGCAAGGUUAUUAUUGGAUCAAGACAAAGUUGUUCAGUAGAUGAAUUGAACAACUUUUUGGGUCUUUGUUCAGUACUAUUAUAUGCAUCAGAAUCAUGAAGGAAAAAGUUGUUCGGUUGGAGGCUAGUGUGCUUGUGGGAUGCUAGAGAAUUUGGAAAUUUUUCAUUUUCACCAAGGUUAUAUUUGGGGAAAUAUUCAGCAAAUGAUGACUAGUUUGCACUUGUUUUGGUUGUAGCUACCACACUAACACUUGGACAAAGGCAUAGCUUAUUGGGUCUAACUUAGCAUAAACUACAAUUACGGCAUGAAGACAUGCCUUUAUUUUGGGGGUAGGAUUGUUAGGAUGCUGUAAUUUACGACUCAAAAUUAGGAUGAUGCAAAAAUUAGGUUUGUGUACCUAUUUCAUUUUGGUGUCUUUUUUUAGUUUGGAUUUGAUUUCUUGGUUGGAUUCCUUGCUUGAUGGAGAGAUUUCGUUAAUUAACAUUUGAUUAGGAUUUGGAUUUACUUCCAAUUAGGAUUAGAAUUCUCAUUGUAACCUAAGUCCUAUGCACUAUAAAUACACUAUAAAUAGGACCUUAGGUUUUGGUUUAUUUCGUGUGCCAACACCAUUACUUUAGAGAGUUUUCUCUCAUUGGAUUUUGGGUGGAGGUUAUAGUUUGGAGUCACGAUUUGGUGAGAAUUAGUUUGCGAGUUAGAAAACAAUUUGGGAGAAUCUUCUCCAUAUGUUUGGGUUCUUUACUCGUGCGGUUUAGGGUUUGUAACUUGUGGGAUUUAGGUUAUGACAGUGAAACACUCUUUUGUAAUCUCCGUUCGUUUAGUGAAAUUUCUCACCGUGCUUCGCCUGUGGACAUAGGCUUUGCACCAAACCACGUGAAAUCGCUUGCAUUCUUAUUUUGAGAUUGUUUACUUAGCUUUCUCCUUCAUAUGAACACUUUGUCGAUACCAUGCUAUUUGGUAGGGAAAGUCUUAGUUUGGAAGAUGUUAAAGCCUCUUUGAAUUCUAAAGAACUAAAGAAUAAAGUGUAUGACACGCAAGAUGGAGCUUUGGUAGUUCAAGGAAAGAAUAAGAAAAGGGGCAAAUUUGGAAAGAACACUCAUAGCUGUUAUCAUAAAGAGGGUCAUUAGAAAAUAGAUUGCCCUAAACUCAAGGGCAAAAAGAAGCUAUUUGAUAAGUCUUUUUGCUAGUGUUGAGGCAAACAUUGCUAAAGAUUGUUAUUCUGAAUUCCUCUAAAGGUUAUGUGAGAAGGUGGAGCUUGGUACUCAAGCUCUUUUGGUGGAGUGCAAUUCGCACUUUAGGUUCAUAUGUUGAAGCUUUUUUUGGAUUUUAUUUCAUAUUUGUUAGUUUGAAACGUUUUGGAUUUUUUGAGUCUAGGUGGAGAUUAGUUCUUUGAAGAAUUUGGUGAUCAUUUUUGCACUUGUAAUUUGGUACCCCAAUUUGGAGUUUGUAUUUGAUUUGGAAGUUUUGCUAAUUUCUUGCCGAGGUGGAGAUUGUUGGGAUUUACGACUCAAAAUUAGGAUGAUGCAAAAAUUAGGUUUGUGUUACCCAUUUCGUUUUGGUUUCCUAUUUGAGUUUGGAGUUAAUUUCUUGGUUGGAUUCCUUGCUUGGUGGAGAGAUUUUAUUGAUUACCUAUUUGAUUAGGAUUUGGAUUUACUUCCAAUUAGGACUAGGAUUCUCAUUGUAACAUAAAUCCUAUGCAUUAUAAAUAGGACCUUAGGUUGGUUUAUUUUGUGUGCUAACACCAUUAGUUUAGAGAGUUUUCUCUCACUAGAUUUUGGGUGUAGGUCACAUUUGGAGUCAUGAGUGUGUGGCAAAUUCAUGGCUCAUUCGUUUGGCAAUUUGGUGAUAAUCAAUUUGUGAGUUAGAGAACAAUUUGGGAGAAUCUUCUCCAUCUUUUUUGGGUUCUCUAAUCGUUUGGUUUAGGGUUUGUAAUUUGUGGGAUUUGGGUUGUGAGAGUUAAACACUCUUUUGCAAUCUCCGUUUGUUUAGUGAAAUUCCUCGCUGUAAUUUGACUAUGGACGUACGCUUUAAGCUGAAUCAUGUUAAAUCUCUUGUGUUCUUAUUUUUUAGAUUGUUUAUUUUAGUUUUUUGCUACAAUGUUGAUGUUUGAUAUUUAGUAUUUUGAUGACAAGUUUGCACUUGUUUUGGUUGUAGCUACCACGCUAAUACUUGGACAAACGCAAAGCUUAUUGGGUCUAACUUAGCAUAAACUAUUUUGCCACUUAGUACUACGGUCUAGUGGUAUUUAUCUUCACUUAUAAGUGAGAGGUUUUAGGUUCGAUUCUCACCAAAAACAAGUUUGAACCACAUUAUUGCUAACCCAUUGUGAGGCUAAGCCCACCUCCUCCCUUUAACGUAGAUAAUAUUGUUUGUUCCCGAGGAAAAAAAAACUUAGCAUAAACUACAAUUACAGCAUGAGAACAUGCCUUUAUUUAUGGGGUAGAAUUGUUAGGACCCUAUAACAAUAUUUAGUGCCCAAUAUAUGUAACAGGGUUAAUGGGUCACCUAGGCCCACUAAGGAGAGUACCAUAUAUUUUUGAAUUGUCUUAUUUGUAAGGCAUAAAUGAAGAAUAUUGUUAUUUAAUUUCUUAAUUUUUUUUUUCCUUUCUUUCUGGUUCCAUUAGAGAAUACACAACAACAACAACAACAACAAAGCCUUUUCUCACUAAGUGGGGUCGGCUAUAUGAAUCCUAGAACGCCAUUGCGCUCGGUUUUGUGUCAUGUCCUCCGUUAGAUCCAAGUACUCUAAGUCUUUUCUUAGAGUCUCUUCCAAAGUUUUCCUAGGUCUUCCUCUACCCCUUCGGCCCUGAACCUCUGUCCCGUUGUCACAUCUUCGAACCGGAGUGUCAAUAGGCCUUCUUUGCACAUGUCCAAAUCACCAGAACCGAUUUUCUCUCAUCUUUCCUUCAAUUUCGGCUACUCCUACUUUACCUCGGAUAUCCUCAUUCUCAAUCUUAUCCUUUCUCGUGUGCCCACACAUCCCACGAAGCAUCCUCAUCUCCGUCACACCCAUUUUGUGUACGUGUUGAUGCUUCACCACCCAACAUUCUGUGUCAUACAACAUCGCUGGCCUUAUUGCCGUCCUAUAAAAUUUUCCCUUGAGCUGCAGUGGCCUACGACGGUCACACAACACGCCGGAUGCACUCUUACACUUCAUCCAUCCAGCUUGUAUUCUAUGGUUGAGAUCUCCAUCUAAUUCUCCGUUCUCUUGCACGAUAGAUCCUAGGUAGCGAAAACGGUCGCUUUUUGUGAUCUUCGCUAGAUUGCUCCGGUCAUUAGUGUGGAUAAAUAUAUAAAUGGAUAGAGAUAGGAAAGCAAACACAAGAUGUACGUGGUUCCCCCAGAUUAGCUACGUCCACGGAAUAGAAGAGUUCGCAUUAAUUGUGAAGGGUUUACACAAGUACAUAGGUUCAAGCUCUCCUUUAGUGAGUACAGGUGAAUGAUUUAGUACAAAUGACAUUAGGAAAUAUUGUGGGAGAAUGAUCUCGUAAUCACGAAACUUCUAAGUAUCGGAGUGUGGUAUCGUCUUGACUUGCCUUAUCUGUCUCAUAGGUAGAUGUGGCAUCUUCUCUGGAAGU